ACGCUGGCGGCAGGCCUAACACAUGCAAGUCGAGCGGAAACGACACUAACAAUCCUUCGGGUGCGUUAAUGGGCGUCGAGCGGCGGACGGGUGAGUAAUGCCUAGGAAAUUGCCUUGAUGUGGGGGAUAACCAUUGGAAACGAUGGCUAAUACCGCAUAAUGCCUACGGGCCAAAGAGGGGGACCUUCGGGCCUCUCGCGUCAAGAUAUGCCUAGGUGGGAUUAGCUAGUUGGUGAGGUAAUGGCUCACCAAGGCGACGAUCCCUAGCUGGUCUGAGAGGAUGAUCAGCCACACUGGAACUGAGACACGGUCCAGACUCCUACGGGAGGCAGCAGUGGGGAAUAUUGCACAAUGGGCGAAAGCCUGAUGCAGCCAUGCCGCGUGUAUGAAGAAGGCCUUCGGGUUGUAAAGUACUUUCAGUUGUGAGGAAGGGGGUAGCGUUAAUAGCGSUAUCUCUUGACGUUAGCAACAGAAGAAGCACCGGCUAACUCCGUGCCAGCAGCCGCGGUAAUACGGAGGGUGCGAGCGUUAAUCGGAAUUACUGGGCGUAAAGCGCAUGCAGGUGGUUCAUUAAGUCAGAUGUGAAAGCCCGGGGCUCAACCUCGGAACUGCAUUUGAAACUGGUGAACUAGAGUACUGUAGAGGGGGGUAGAAUUUCAGGUGUAGCGGUGAAAUGCGUAGAGAUCUGAAGGAAUACCAGUGGCGAAGGCGGCCCCCUGGACA
rnacentral:rRNA from 1 species